rnacentral:rRNA from 1 species
UGGGGAAUUUUGCACAAUGGGGGAAACCCUGAUGCAGCGACGCCGCGUGAUUUAGAAGGCCUUCGGGUUGUAAAAAUCUUUUUUACGGGAUGAAAAUGACAGUACCGUAAGAAUAAGGUCCGGCUAAAUACGUGCCAGCAGCCGCAGUAAUACGUAUGGACCGAGCGUUGUCCGGAAUCAUUGGGCGUAAAGGGUACGUAGGCGGCCUAGUAAGUUAGAAGUGAAAUAAUAUAGCUCAACUAUAUAAAGCUUUUAAAACUGCUAGGCUUGAGAGAUGGAAGGGAAAGUGGAAUUCCUAGUGUAGCGGUGAAAUGCGCAGAUAUUAGGAAGAAUACCGGUGGCGAAGGCGACUUUCUGGUCAUCAUCUGACGCUGAGGUACGAAAGCGUGGGUAGCAAACAGG